GCGUCGCGACGGAAAGUAAACAUCUUUUGAUGGACGAACUGCGGCGCGAAUAAAUCUCGCGCUAAUCCCGUGUUAAUGAAAAGGUCGGUUAUCAAACGUACAAGAUGUAGGUCGGGCUCUGACUCCGUGAGGAUGUCGUGGCCUGGCAGUUUUGAAGAUUAAUUGCGACGUCGAGAUCUCACAAUGAGGGAUUUCUCGUUAUGCAUUCGUGAGAUGUGUGGAAAUAUUUAAAAAAUUGACGUUAAAAGCACCAUAAAAUAGGGUAACUUUGGCUGAAAUAAUAUCCAAAGAAUCCUGGCUACACCCAACUCAAAGUUUAUUUUAUGAUAGAUGAAAAUUAAUUGAU